CCUACGGGAGGCAGCAGUGAGGAAUAUUGGUCAAUGGACGAGAGUCUGAACCAGCCAAGUAGCGUGAAGGAUGACUGCCCUAUGGGUUGUAAACUUCUUUUAUAUGGGAAUAAAACAGGGUAUGCAUACCCUCUUGUAUGUACCAUAUGAAUAAGGACCGGCUAAUUCCGUGCCAGCAGCCGCGGUAAUACGGAGAAUCCGAGCGUUAUCCGGAUUUAUUGGGUUUAAAGGGAGCGUGGGUGGAUUGUUAAGUCAGCGGUAAAAGCCCGGGGCUCAACCCCGGAGAGCCGUUGAAACUGGCUGUCUUGAGAGGUCGAGAGGUAUGCGGAAUGCGCAGUGUAGCGGUGAAAUGCUUAGAUAUUGCGCAGAACUCCGAUGGCGAAGGCAGCAUACCGGCGGCGAUCUGACGCUGAGGCACGAAAGCGUGGGUAUCGAACAGGAUUAGAUACCCCUGUAGUC
rnacentral:rRNA from 1 species